UUAUGUGAUCGUCUCUCGCAUAUCAAUAAGCGGAGGAAAAGAAACUAACAAGGAUUCCCCUAGUAACGGCGAGUGAAGCGGGAAGAGCUCAAAUUUGAAAUCUUAAAGGGUUUCCCUUUACGAAUUGUAGUUUAAAGAAGUGUUUUCUGUUGAGGUUUUUGGUAAAAGUUCUUUGGAAUAGGACAUCAUAGAGGGUGAGAAUCCCGUAUUUGACCUUUACUUUCAACUUUGUGAUACACUUUCAAAGAGUCGGAUUGUUUGGGAAUGCAGUCCAAAAUGGGUGGUAAAUUUCAUCUAAAGCUAAAUAUUGGCGAGAGACCGAUAGCGAACAAGUACCGUGAGGGAAAGAUGAAAAGAACUUUGAAAAGAGAGUUAAACAGUACGUGAAAUUGUCAAAAGGGAAGCGUUUGACACCAGUGUUGUUUUUUCUGAAAAUCAAUUAAAGAACUGUUUAUGCUAAGCUGUUUAGACUUUAUCAGCUAUCUGUUUAGUUUUGAGCUUUUCUUUAAUGCACUUUUCAGUUAACAAGUCAACAUCAAUUUCUUUUGCUGUAAAAAAGCUUGAGGAAGGUGGCUUGAGAUUCGUCUUAAGUGUUUAUAGCCUCUUGCCUAUGCAGUCGGAGAGAUUGAGGUCUGCAGCGUAGAUCCUUCGGGGCUAAAUGCAUUUGUGCUAAGUUAUAGCAUUUUAUAGACAACUUGUUGACUAUGAUUUGUCUUGUAGCUUACUCGCUUAUGUUAUUUUACCUACGCUUAGGAUGUUGAGCGCAUGUCUCUCUCU
rnacentral:rRNA from 1 species